rfam:Homo sapiens chromosome 6, GRCh38 reference primary assembly.
GCCAGGUACGGUGGCGCGUGCCUGUAGUCCCAACUACUUGGGAAGCUGCGGCAGGAGGAUGGCUUGAGUCCAAGAGUUCUGGGCUGUACUGUGCUAUGCCAGUUGGGGGUCCACACUAAGUUCAGCAUCAGUAUGGUGACCUCCCAGGAAGGGGGACCACCAGAUUUACUAAUGAGGGGUGAACUGGCCCAGAUUGGAAACAAGCAGGUCAAAACUCCUGCGCUGAUCAGUAGUGGGAUCAUGCCUGCGAAUAGCCACUGCACUCCAGUCUGGGCAACAUAACAAGACCCUGUCUCUU